rnacentral:rRNA from 1 species
CGGCACCUCAAGUGGUCAGGAUGAUUAUUGGGCCUAAAGCAUCCGUAGCCGGCGCUGUAAGUUUUCGGUUAAAUCUGUACGCUCAACGUACAGGCUGCCGGGAAUACUGCAGAGCUAGGGAGUGGGAGAGGUAGACGGUACUCGGUAGGAAGGGGUAAAAUCCUUUGAUCUAUUGAUGACCACCUGUGGCGAAGGCGGUCUACCAGAACACGUCCGACGGUGAGGGAUGAAAGCUGGGGGAGCAAACCGGAUUAGAUACCCGAGUAGUCC